GUGUGUGUGUGUGCACAAAUAGAAGUGCAGGAGUGGUCAUGCUUACCUGGGUGGUUUUCUGUGUAGUGUGUGAGGUUAAUCUCAUCAGCCACUGUG